UUACCAUGGCGACCUGUCAAUCAGGCUAGAAUGACUGGUAUCCACAGCACUGUGUAAAUUUAACAAGCGCUGUUGAAAAAGCAUAUUAAGAGUUGGCUGUUGACUUUCUCUGGUUAUGGAUGAUUUUGCUGAUUCAAGGAGAAAACAAGAUGCGGAUGGCGUAAUUCUCUGACCUCAGUGGCUGAUUAAUAACCUGCUAUGUACACCUCCUUGGAGUUUAGCUGAGGCUGACGAUUCACAGCACCUCCCUCUGGGCACUGAGCGGCCCAUGUACCCCCAUGAGCGAUAGCGCUGAGAGAGCCUGAAAUAUUGAUGGCCCCAGGCGAAGGCCACCUCCAGCACACUCUGCAGGGGGUUCAGGCCAGGGCUGCAGUCAGGUAGAGUCAGAGUGGGUGAUCUUUAGCGAGGAGGAUGGCUAUUCCACGGCAGAUGGAGGUGAGGUGUAGUGAAGCAAAUGAGGAGCAAUGAUGAGUGUGUGUAAAAAACAUGUUAUCCCAGCUGCCAGCUGGCUUCUUCACA